GAUGAACGCUAGCUACAGGCUUAACACAUGCAAGUCGAGGGGUAACAAGAGAAAAGCUUGCUUUUCUUGUUGACGACCGGCGCACGGGUGAGUAACGCGUAUCCAACCUGCCUAUAACUAGGGAAUACCCUUGCGAAAGUAAGACUAAUACCCUAUGAUUUCCUUUGACGACAUCAGAUUAGGUAUAAAGAUUUAUCGGUUACAGAUGGGGAUGCGUCUGAUUAGCUUGGUGGCGGGGUAACGGCCCACCAAGGCAACGAUGAGGAGGGGUGCUGAGAGGAAGGUCCCCCACAUUGGAACUGAGACGCGGUCCAAACUCCUACGGGAGGCAGCAGUGAGGAAUAUUGGUCAAUGGGCGGAAGCCUGAACCAGCCAAGUAGCGUGCAGGAUGACGGCCCUAUGGGUUGUAAACUGCUUUUAUACAGGAAUAAAGUUAGCCACGUGUGGUUAUUUGUAGGUACUGUAUGAAUAAGGACCGGCUAAUUCCGUGCCAGCAGCCGCGGUAA
rnacentral:rRNA from 1 species